rnacentral:rRNA from 1 species
UACGUAGGCAGCAAGCGUUGUUCGGAGUUACUGGGCGUAAAGGGUGCGUAGGCGGCCCUGUAAGUAUGGUGUGAAAUCUCCCGGCUUAACUGGGAGGGUGCGCUAUAGACUGCGGGGCUCGAGUGUGGGAGAGGAAAGUGGAAUUCCUGGUGUAGCGGUGAAAUGCGUAGAUAUCAGGAGGAACACCGGUGGUGUAAACGGCUUUCUGGACCAUAACUGACGCUGAGGCACGAAAGCGUGGGGAGCGAACCGG